rnacentral:rRNA from 8 species
UGGCGGCAGUAGCGCGGUGGUCCCACCUGACCCCAUGCCGAACUCAGAAGUGAAACGCCGUAGCGCCGAUGGUAGUGUGGGGUUUCCCCAUGCGAGAGUAGGGAACUGCCAGACA